CAUUGUUUGGACGCGCCUCCAUGCUGGCAAUAUGAUUCACUUCCGGGUCGGCAGACUCAAUGCGGAUUGUAACGUGUGGUCGUGCUAAGCUAACUCUUUCGGUGUUUUAGAAAGAAAUUAUGGGUGUGUAUUGUUGUGUUACCGGGUGCAACAGCUUCUCCUACGACUAAAAAAAGGGCGAGGAAAACUGGACUCACUUUUCACCGUUUUCCUGCAUGUAGGACCAAAUAUCAGAUCACGAAGGCACGACUGAUGGCUGGAUUGCAGCGGUUCGUCGGAAAAGCAUUUCUUAUGAUCAUAUUUCUGCUGGAAUGAGAGUAUUCCCCUCAUCUCUACUCUUGAAAACCUGCAUAUGAAAUGCUGACAACACAUCCCGAUUGGUCACCAUAUCUCUUCUUGGGUUAUUCUGAGGUCAAGCGCACCACAUUGGAGCGUUAUGAGAGGUUGGAAAGGCGAAGAGUGCACGCUGAAACUUCAGUUUGCUCUGCUCUUAAAAACACGAUCCCAAGUGUUGUUGUGAAAAGUCAAUAAAAUAUGAAUACCAAAACAUGACUUGAACAACUUCUUGACAAACUGUAACUGCUUGUUGUUUACUUCAGGUCUUCAUAAUAAACAGGUGUAAUAAUUACAAA